ncrna:unclassified sequences DTF805b RNA
UAGGAGAUUUCUGAAAAUCCUUUAAAGAGUAGGGA